AAGUCGUAACAAGGUCUCCGUAGGUGAACCUGCGGAGGGAUCAUUCACAUGAUUACCUUUUUCAACAAACUGUGAACUUUUUAAUUUACUAUUCGUGUGCAUAUUUAUUGUUCAUUCAAUUCAAUAUGUCACACUGUCAUUCGAUGAACAUUAGAUAGCUGGCUUGAUUUUCGAAUCUUUCUCAGCUGAUUGUUUUGUGUUUUAAUUACCACAUCCAAUCAACCAACAAACAUAGAAACAACUCUAUGCCCUGGAUAUCUUGGUUCUC
rnacentral:misc_RNA from 1 species